UACGUAGGGUGCGAGCGUUGUCCGGAAUUAUUGGGCGUAAAGAGCUCGUAGGUGGUUUGUCGCGUCGUCUGUGAAAUUCCGGGGCUUAACCCCGGACUUGCAGUGGGUACGGGCAGACUAGAGUGUGGUAGGGGAGACUGGAAUUCCUGGUGUAGCGGUGAAAUGCGCAGAUAUCAGGAGGAACACCGAUGGCGAAGGCAGGUCUCUGGGCCACUACUGACGCUGAGAAGCGAAAGCAUGGGGAGCGAACAGGAUUAGAUACCCGCGUAGU
rnacentral:rRNA from 1 species